UACGACUACAUAUCAGGCAUAUCAAUAAGCGGAGGAAAAGAAACUAACUAGGAUUCCCUCAGUAACGGCGAGUGAAGCGGGAAGAGCUCAAAUUUGAAAUCUUCAAGGUUCUACCUUGACGAAUUGUAGUUUAAAGAAGUGUUUUCUGUUGGAGCUUUGGUAAAAGUUCUUUGGAAUAGGACAUCAUAGAGGGUGAGAAUCCCGUAUUUGACCAUUAUUUCCAGCUUUGUGAUACACUUUCAAAGAGUCGGAUUGUUUGGGAAUGCAGUCCAAAAUGGGUGGUAAAUUUCAUCUAAAGCUAAAUAUUGGCGAGAGACCGAUAGCGAACAAGUACCGUGAGGGAAAGAUGAAAAGAACUUUGAAAAGAGAGUUAAACAGUACGUGAAAUUGUCAAAAGGGAAGCGUUUGACACCAGUGUUGUUUUCUCGAAAAUCAAUUAAAAAUGGCAUUGAUUUUGUGUUGUAUUGACCUUAUAAGCUUUCUGCACUUUUUCUAUGUCUUUUUUAAUGCACUUUUCGUUUAACAAGUCAACAUCAAUUUCUUUUGUUGUAAAAGGGUCAUUGGAAGGUGGCUUUCUUUUCGGAGAAAGUGUUUAUAGCCUUUGACUCCUGCAAUCGGAGAGACUGAGGUCUGCAGCGUAGAUCCUUCUGGGAUUAGAUUACAUUUGUGCUAAGUUAUAGCCUUUUAUAGACAACUUGUUGACUAUGAUUUAGUCAUUGUAGCUUACUCGCUUAUGCUAUUUUACCUACGCUUAGGAUGUUGAGCGCGCACAGAGUCUC
rnacentral:rRNA from 1 species